rnacentral:lncRNA from 9 species
AGAUGUUCCUCUGCAGCUGAACAGCUGGCAGGCAGCCCGAGAUGGGGCCCUGCUCAGGAAACCCCCACCUCCGCUGGGCCUCCCGGCUCCUGGGACUCCUCAGCCUCCUCUUCAGUGUCUGCCGCAGUGGGACCAAUAGUGAUGGAGGUCCUGCUCCUGGAGUUCAGGAUUCUGGAGCUCCUGAUCCUCUGCAGGGGAUCCGAGGAGGUUCUGUGCUGUUUCCUUUGCCCAAGAAGCAAGACGCUGAGCUGGAGGAGGUCACGUGGGGCUUUGGUCCUGGGUCAGAGUACAGAGUCCUGCUGCGAGUCCGACCUGGGAAAGCUCCAAUAUGGGUGAGCCUCCAGGACGGGUACCAGCAGAGGGUCCAUGUGCCCAACAUGACGUCCCUGAAGAUUGAGAACCUGACCCCCGAGGACAGUGGGCUGUACCGGGCUCGAGGCAGCUUCACUGGAGGAGUAGAUUUUACCCAGGUUUUCCACCUCACUGUCUAUGAGCCUGUGCCCAUUCCCCAGAUCCUGGUCCACUCACCAUCCAUCACGCAAGGCUGGUGCAAUGUCACCAUUGAGUGCAGGAUCUCAUGGGGCACAGAGGACCUGAAGGUGACCUGGGAGGGCAAGGGCCUCCCCAGGCAGCUGGAGGAGAGAGUGACACUGGGACCAGCCCCCAAUUCCUGGAACCUGGCUGUGCACCUGCCCCAGAGCCAGUCCUACACCAACAUCACCUGUGUGGUCAGCAAUGAAGUGGACCAGAAAACUGCCACCUUCGACCUUGGGAAAGUCUGCCACCUUGGGGAAGCCCAUGGUUCACUUGGAGAGGCGAUUGUUGUUUCCCUACGAGGCAUCCUAGGGUCUGUCGUGGUCAUGGUGUUGGUCCUCAGAGGUGGACUGUACCUUUGGAAGGUACACAGGAAGAAGAAGAAGAUGGAGACUGCAAGAGGAGCAGGAUCGCAAGAGGACUACAGGGUCCGUGAUUGUGACAUCUAGAGUGCAGAACUGAGCCAGCAGGAGUCUCUUG